ensembl:lncRNA
UGAAAAUAACUGAUCCUUUUAUGAAGAAAUAAACUUUUGGUGUGAGAGGUGGCAAUCACAAAAGGUGUGAAUCUUUUGUAGAGAUUUGAAAGAACAGAAGUUAACAAUGCAGGCUGGACUUCUCUGCCCUUGCUGUGAUAUUUGAGAGAGGGAAUAUGUUAGCAGUGCCAUGAAGGAAUAUGGCAUUUCCAGUUUAGAUUGUUGUGCAUGAAUUACGUGCAAAAGGGCUGAGAACUCUGACAUCUUAUAUUGAUCUGAGAGAAUAAAUCUUAAAAUUUAUCUCUCCCAUGGACAGCUAAAUACUGUUUAGAUAACUUAUUAACCAAUUGGACUCCAUAGAUAUUUUCCUUUGAUCCAAUAACUUGACUGUCUGAUGAUAGGUGCUCUGGGCUAUGCUGUGAUUUAAGGUGUAAGACUCUCCUCCCUAUUGAGGAGGCUGAAAAAUUUCUCCCUCCAGUCUGCGAACCACAGAGGGACCUCAGAUUCUUAAUGCAUUCCCUAUUGAUAGCCACCAUAGAAGGCUGGAACAGAAGAAUUUUUGCUGUGAUGUCCUCCAGUUGUCCUCUGCUGAAAUCUGAGCUAUCAUGCUGAGGUGCAGAAGACAAAAGAAAGGAAAAAAAAAAACAACAUUGAUACAUUAUUCAUUAUUCAUGCCAGAGAAAGAGAGAGGCAGUGAUGGAGAAAAGAGAAGACAAGGCUUCUCCUUCAAGAGGAUGUUCCAGAUGCAGUACCCUGCAGGUGGUGAUUUGCUGAGACUCUGAAUAUAACUUCUCACACCAAAGAGUGGCAGCAUUUCCUUGUUAUCUAUUGUUUCUGGAGAUAGACCAACAAGGUGACACUCAAGCAGGAAUGGAGCACUGUCUCGAUACUGCGACGGUAACAAUAAGGAAACUGAGAAAUGAACGUGAAGAACUCAGGAUUCUCAGUAAAAACAGGAGGCAUAGGCACACCAACACAGCACAGGGAAUUUGAAUAGAGAAUACAUUUUAAGAGGGUUUUCUAUUAUUGUCAACUAAAUUUAGGAUGUUGAUCUGCUUUGCUCACAAAUAGUUAAUGAAACAGGGGCAUGCAACUUUACUUUUUACAAGAAAUUAAGAAGUAUAAGGGUUACAUAACGGAGGAAGGAAAUGAACAUCUGUGGCUUCAUGGUGCUUUUUACACAUAAGAAAAUUAUUUGGGGGAUUUGUUGCUUACAGACAUCUGCUUAGCAGUGAUGCCAGAGCCAGCCAGCCUCAUUAGCUUUGACAGAUGACCAAUACCACCUAAUAGCCUUGAUUCUGACAGACAGAUCAUUUGCUUCAGCCAUAUAAAAUCUAUCUAAAUAAUUGAUAAAAACAGACAUAUGUACAAAAUAAAAAAUUGAAACAGGCUUUUGAAUGCUGAAACUUAAACCCAUUUAGGUGUUGAAUUUGGCAUGGAACAAUGGUCACAAUUUAGACUUGCAGGAAAUAAGACCCAUGUGGCUUACCUUCCUGCUUUUGGGGCAUAAUCAGAUAAUCUUUUGCCUAUAUAGUUGGAAUGACCAAAGCAAUGACCACACAGGUGCUUGUUACUGCCUCAGUGCUGAAAAAGCAAGGAACUUCAAUAUGUAGUCAUCUUUUUUUAUAACCUGUUUGGAGUUGCCUAAUUUGUUCUGUCAUUAAGUUUUUAGUUUCAGUCUUGUAAAUGAAGUAGAUAUAUCAAGCAGUAACUAUGUUUAAUUUCUGCUAUCCACCCAUGAAUAAUAAGCUAUUCCCCAACAAUGAAAAUAUAAUGGAAGAACUAUGAAUUACAACUGAUUGUGGUUAAACUGAUUUUUAUUUCUCAGAAAUACCUUUUGAAAACACUUCAGAACUUGCACCCAUGAUUUAUUCAGUUGUGAUUCUGUUUUGCUGAUGCAUUUGCAUAUUUUCCUUCACGUUUAAUGAUUUAGUAUCAUGUUUUGUUGUUUUUUUUUUUUUCCAGUUUAAAUGAAUAACUGAAACUUGUUCAGUAUUUACAUUUCACUGCUGUAUACCUCAAAUCAUUUUACUGGUAUUCAAUCUAAUGAUGUAAUGUUAUGAGUUCUCACUUUCAUGAAUAUUAAUAGAAAUGGAAAAUGCUUCAAAUGAUCUACAAGUUUUCAAAAAUUAAAUAUUUGGAGAAAAACUCAUAAUGAAAGCAGCAUUUGCCUUGAAAUACCUACUCUUAGGAAGAAAUUGAUAAUAAUGUCAAAAAUAGACAUCAAGUGUGAGACUACAAUUUGAAUUAUACUCAUCAAUUAAAGUCCACGUCAGGUUCUAAAAGCUAAUUUUUAAUAUAGUUUCUUUAUAUUCAUUUUGUGAUUUUUUUUUCCCCUCUGUCAAAGGGUAACCUUGCAAGCCACAACCUCAGUGCUGCAAAUCAGCAUGUAUGGGUUCACUGACAUCUGUAAAUGUAACAGUUUUCAUUAGCAAAUGACUAAGCCCAGUUCUCCAGAGGAUGCUGUGGUGUACCAACAGCCCUGAGAAUAUAUCUUCUUCCACAAACUCAAGAAAUCUAUGACACAUGCAAUACUAAAGAAAUCUGACAGUCCUGUUGUAAUCGUAGGCACUGGAUGUUCCUGUCAAGCUGAGGAACUCCACCCAGCAGUGCUGAAUAGUGAGAAAGAGCAGCACUUAUCCACCUCCCAGGUUUUGCUUGGUAGGUGGCCUCAGCUGUGGUCAUCUGGAAGCCAUUUCAUCAGAAAAGUGCUUGCUACAAACCAGGCAUUAU